rnacentral:rRNA from 1 species
CCUACGGUAGGCUGCAGUCGAGAAUCAUUCACAAUGGGGGAAACCCUGAUGGUGCGACGCCGCGUGGGGGAAUGAAGGUCUUCGGAUUGUAAACCCCUGUCAUGUGGGAGCAAAUUAAAAAGAUAGUACCACAAGAGGAAGAGACGGCUAACUCUGUGCCAGCAGCCGCGGUAAUACAGAGGUCUCAAGCUUUGUUCGGAAUCACUGGGCGUAAAGCGUGCGUAGGCUGUUUCGUAAGUCGUGUGUGAAAGGCGCGGGCUCAACCCGCGGACGGCACAUGAUACUGCGAGACUAGAGUAAUGGAGGGGGAACCGGAAGUCUCGGUGUAGCAGUGAAAUGCGUAGAUAUCGAGAGGAACACUCGUGGCGAAGGCGGGUUCCUGGACAUUAACUGACGCUGAGGCACGAAGGCCAGGGGAGCGAAAGGGAUUAGAUACCCCGGUAGUC